rnacentral:sRNA from 1 species
GCAUGAGCCACUACACCACCACUCCAUGUGUAUCCCUUUAGACCUUCCUCCAUAGAGGAAGAUCAUUCUUCAAGGGGAUACAAGUAGCUCCACUCACCUGCUAGAAUCUCCAAAUAAGCUCUCAACAAAAGGUAUUGGACAGGUAUGGUAGAUGACACCUGUAAUCACAGCCCUUGAGAGGCUGAAGCAAGAAGACAGACAGGAGUUUGAGGUUAGUGCCACCUAAG